rnacentral:rRNA from 1 species
AGAGUUUGAUCCUGGCUCAGAACGAACGCUGGCGGCGUGGAUAAGACAUGCAAGUCGAGCGAGAGUUUGUGGGUAGCAAUAUUUGCAAACUUUAGCGGCGGAAGGGUGCGUAACACGUGGGUAAUUUACCAUAAAGACUGGAAUAACUUGCUGAAAGGCGAGCUAAUACCGGAUGUGACUGCGGGGAGGCAUUUCCUUGUGGUUAAAGCUGGGGACCGUAAGGCCUGGCACUUUUUGAUAAGCCCGCGGCCUAUCAGCUAGUUGGUGGGGUAAUGGCCUACCAAGGCGACGACGGGUAGCCGACCUGAGAGGGUGACCGGCCACACUGGGACUGAGACACGGCCCAGACUCCUACGGGAGGCAGCAGUGGGGAAUAUUGCACAAUGGGCGAAAGCCUGAUGCAGCGACGCCGCGUGAGGGAUGACGGCCUUCGGGUUGUAAACCUCUUUCAGCAGGGACGAAGCGCAAGUGACGGUACCUGCAGAAGAAGCACCGGCUAACUACGUGCCAGCAGCCGCGGUAAUACGUAGGGUGCAAGCGUUGUCCGGAAUUACUGGGCGUAAAGAGUUCGUAGGCGGUUUGUCGCGUCGUUUGUGAAAACCAGCAGCUCAACUGCUGGCUUGCAGGCGAUACGGGCAGACUUGAGUACUGCAGGGGAGACUGGAAUUCCUGGUGUAGCGGUGAAAUGCGCAGAUAUCAGGAGGAACACCGGUGGCGAAGGCGGGUCUCUGGGCAGUAACUGACGCUGAGGAACGAAAGCGUGGGUAGCGAACAGGAUUAGAUACCCUGGUAGUCC